rnacentral:rRNA from 1 species
AACGAACGCUGGCGGCAUGCCUAACACAUGCAAGUCGAACGAGACCUUCGGGUCUAGUGGCGCACGGGUGCGUAACGCGUGGGAACCUGCCCUUAGGUUCGGAAUAACUCAGAGAAAUUUGAGCUAAUACCGGAUAAUGUCUUCGGACCAAAGAUUUAUCGCCUUUGGAUGGGCCCGCGUAGGAUUAGCUUGUUGGUGGGGUAAUGGCCUACCAAGGCGACGAUCCUUAGCUGGUCUGAGAGGAUGAUCAGCCACACUGGGACUGAGACACGGCCCAGACUCCUACGGGAGGCAGCAGUGGGGAAUAUUGGACAAUGGGCGAAAGCCUGAUCCAGCAAUGCCGCGUGAGUGAUGAAGGCCUUAGGGUUGCAAAGCUCUUUUACCAGGGAUGAUAAUGACAGUACCUGGAGAAUAAGCUCCGGCUAACUCCGUG